rnacentral:lncRNA from 1 species
UGAAGGCUGAGUAGCGGUUUUCUGUGCAAGUAAAAUCUUAUCUUGGGGGAUAGAGGGAAGACCAUCUUCCCCCAUCCCCCAACUUGAAUGAAGAAGAAAAAACCCAACCAAAAAUGACAUAAAGCUAAGCUGCCACAAAGGCUGCACUUACCCAAUAUUCCUGGUGUGGAGGGAAUAAUCUGAAAUGAGCCAGAGCUUUAUGCACAAAAAUG